GUUUAGUGUCGAAAGUCGUACGGCGAGACGUGUUACUUUACUAGACGUGUGUAACCUAUAUAUUAUACAACUCUACGCCGACGCCAUGUUGGUUAACGAAUUCUACGAUGGCCUACCAUGGAUUUUCGAUUUAUUGCAAUGAAAGCAAUGAUUGUUCACAACUCCUAUUCUCUCUUCCUACACGGAGUCCGAUUGAUUGUUCACGAUAACAAUCUUCGUGGCAUCGUCUUCAGUGAUUUCUUCUGGCCUACUCCAGUAUCGAUGACAACGUUCUUCGCAUAUAAUGAUUUAUCAAAUUUGUUUUUGGGGAAUUUUUAAUGGAACAAUUUACAAUGGAGCAGAACUAGUAGAGAUUCUAAAAAAAGGAUUGCUGGAAGUGCUGGCCAGCUGAACGACUGGUCUGGGUGCAGUGGGUGCUGAUACGCUUCUUGUGAUGCUUGGCCCAGGUUCUUGGGUCCUGGGUCCAGGGGUGGUCAAGGAUAUCGUUGCUGUGGUUGUG